CCGUUACCCGUCAUGCAGUUUGUUAGGAGAGCAGUGAGAGACAGGCGGAGUAAAAACGCUCUAACGUGCGGCAGCAAACAAUGAUAAAGUCGUUAAUCCGUUUCCAACCGUUUAUUAAUCCGACACUAACAACCGUCCUCCACUAAAAGUCAAUUUAAUCCUCCGGGAUCGCUUCAUUUAUCUUCACUCAGCUGUUCGAGGCUAUUCAUCCACAACCCAGCAGGAAAAACCCGGACUGGAUCCUCUCACUGACUGGAUUCACUCACUGACUGGAUUCACUCACUGACUGGAUUCACUCACUGACCCUGAUUUGACCCUCAAUGACUUCAGCUGGCGUUCAGGAACUGCACCGGGAUCCGAUGGCCUGACCGCAAAACCCGAUGUGACUGCCGGUGGACUGGGGUUUACACGGUCCAUGGGAAAUAUGGAAGAGUCUUCAGGUUCGUCCAAAUCCUACGUAUCUUUGUCAUGUUAUUCAUGAACAUUAUGCAAUUCUCCACUUUCCAGUGUCGUCUUCUUCUUGGCAUUUCUUUGGUGGAUUGCAAAGCAACUUUUAGGUGCAUAC